UACGUAGGGUGCAAGCGUUGUCCGGAAUUAUUGGGCGUAAAGAGCUCGUAGGCGGUUUGUCGUGUCUGCUGUGAAAACUCGGGGCUCAACUCCGAGCUUGCAGUGGGUACGGGCAGACUAGAGUGCGGUAGGGGAGACUGGAAUUCCUGGUGUAGCGGUGGAAUGCGCAGAUAUCAGGAGGAACACCGGUGGCGAAGGCGGGUCUCUGGGCCGUAACUGACGCUGAGGAGCGAAAGCAUGGGGAGCGAACAGG
rnacentral:rRNA from 1 species